UACAGAGGGGGCAAGCGUUGUUCGGAAUUACUGGGCGUAAAGGGCGCGUAGGCGGCCUUCUAAGUCGAACGUGAAAUCCCCGGGCUCAACCCGGGAACUGCGUCCGAUACUGGAAGGCUUGAAUCCGGGAGAGGGAUGCGGAAUUCCAGGUGUAGCGGUGAAAUGCGUAGAUAUCGGAAGGAACACCUGUGGCGAAAGCGGCUCACUGGACCAUAACUGACGCUGAGGCGCGAAAGCUAGGGGAGCAAACAGG
rnacentral:rRNA from 1 species